rnacentral:misc_RNA from 1 species
UGACCACUCAAGCUUAGCUUGGUAUUGGGGCUCGCUGCACCAGCGGUCUCUAAAAUCAGUGGCGGUGCCAUCUGGCUCUAAGCGUAGUAAUCUUUCUCGCUACAGGGUUCUGGUGGAUGCUAGCCAGCAACCCAACUUCUCAC